CCGGUGUUUGAAUAGGGUCUGUAGUAGAUGACUUAAGCUGCUGCUGUUCUUCUGGGUGAUUAAUUUCAAUCAAGGUGAAGCUUUCACAAGGACUUGUGCAAAUACUACUUUAGUGUAAUGCAGUCAGUUAUUAGUUAAGUAGCAUUUUUGGCUUUAAUUUUUUUCGGGCCUUUUAAUGUACAAGACCACCUCAGUCGAUGUGAAGCAGUAUACCGGUUCAGAUGUAUUUCAAUUGGCCUAGAACAAAGGAAUUAAAACUACGAGCACAGUUUGGCUGAACGCGUCACCACUGCAUUUUCUGAAGAUUUAUCUUCUGGUCUCAGCUACGGGUCGAUUCUGUAGUAGAUAGUUUACUUAUUUUCCUAUCCAUCUCUUGGUGGACUCUACUGUCCGUCCUUUGGUGGACCCCAGAAGAAUAAACAUGACGUGCCUUAAAGGCGUUGCUGUUCAAACGCUUGGCAUUAUCAAGAAAUUUAAUGGCGGUGCUUCUAAUGAUAAGCAUAUUAAUUCAACGACUUACUUUUUCAAAGCAAUCGGAGGAGGAGUAAACUUGCUUCGCCGGCUACAAAAGCAGAUUUCUCCGCCCAAAGCGGUUGGAGUUAUUUUGGGAGAAGAGACAGAAACAAACAUUGUGCUAAGCCAACCUUCACAGGUGAAGCAUAAACAUCUGGCAACAUAACAGAGAAAAGAUUGAUACCAACUACAGUUUGUCAAUGCUCAUCUAGUUUGGCUGUUUAAGG